UGACAUAUCCUACUUGGUUUAGUUAUGAUAACUCAGUCAGCAAUUCAUUUACUUAUGCACUCAUUUAUUCACCUAAUGUCUAUUGAUUAUUUAGAAUGCACCAGGCACUUGAUCCAGCUGUCCAGAAUACAAGAUAUACUCCUGAAGUCUGACUUUCAUUCAUUAACAACCACAUGGAUGAAGAAAGCAUAAAAAAAGAAACCAUUAAAAGAUAGCUGGAUUAUAACCUAGCUCCCAUUUGCACAGAGAGCUGUGGAAGUCAGCAGGAAGUGGAGGAUCACAUCUCACCCUGCAAGUGCGAGCUAUGCAGAGUGCUGUUCUGCUGAGGAAUGCGUAUGGAAAGGUGAGGAAAGCAACCACACAGCGGAUAAAGUUGAGAAACACUACCUCAGCCCUGUGGCCAAGGUCAGCAUCAACAGCGACACAUUAUGUUGGUGGUAUAUACUCACAUGAUGUGGUCAUGUGAUGUGGUGAUGAGAAGAGCAUUUCCUCCUCAAAGCCCAUAACCCCAUUCUAAUAAUGAGAAAACUAUCAGCAAACCCCAAAUUGAGGCACAGAGUGCAAAGUGCCUGGCCGGUACUCCUCAGAACUGUCAAGGUCACCAAAAACAUGGACAGACCCAGCAACUGCCACAGCCCAGAGGAGCCUAAGACGAGAUGAAUAAAUGUCAUAUAGUCUCCUGAAUACCAUCCAUGAGCAGAAAAAGGACAUUGGGUGAAAACCAAGGACAUCUGAAUAAGGGCGUAUUCAAACCCCCCACAUAGGGAAUACUGUUGAUGUGAGUCACUGUUACUCGUGACAGCUUCUUACUCCACAGAAGUGCUGAACACAGGCCCUGCAUCACCCGGCCCUC
rnacentral:lncRNA from 1 species